AUUGAACGCUAGCGGCAUGCCUUACACAUGCAAGUCGAACGGCAGCAUAGGAGCUUGCUCCUGAUGGCGAGUGGCGAACGGGUGAGUAAUAUAUCGGAACGUGCCCUAGAGUGGGGGAUAACUAGUCGAAAGACUAGCUAAUACCGCAUACGAUCUACGGAUGAAAGUGGGGGAUCGCAAGACCUCAUGCUCCUGGAGCGGCCGAUAUCUGAUUAGCUAGUUGGUGGGGUAAAAGCCUACCAAGGCAACGAUCAGUAGCUGGUCUGAGAGGACGACCAGCCACACUGGGACUGAGACACGGCCCAGACUCCUACGGGAGGCAGCAGUGGGGAAUUUUGGACAAUGGGGGCAACCCUGAUCCAGCAAUGCCGCGUGAGUGAAGAAGGCCUUCGGGUUGUAAAGCUCUUUUGUCAGGGAAGAAACGGUAGUAGCGAGUAACUACUACUAAUGACGGUACCUGAAGAAUAAGCACCGGCUAACUACGUGCCAGCAGCCGCAGUAA
rnacentral:rRNA from 1 species